AACGCACCUUGCGCUCCUUGGUAUUCCGAGGAGCAUGCCUGUUUGAGUGUCAUUAAAUUCUCAACCAUCCUGUCUUUCUUUCGAGAGGGCGGUGAUGCGUUGGAUGUGGGGACCUGCCUGUUUCUUACGAGACUUCGGCUUCCCUUAAAAGCAUUAGCUAGAGCGCUUCUGUUGACUAGCUGCUAGUGUGAUAAUUAUCUACACUGUGGCCAACGAAGGAAACUCUGCUUCUAAUCGUCUGCUUGCAGACAACUCCUGAUAUCUUGACCUCAAAUCAGGUAGGACUACCCGCUGAACUUAA
rnacentral:misc_RNA from 1 species